GUCAUUUCAAGGAUGAGUUAUGACAACAGCUUUUUGUACCUUGUUUUCAUAAAUAUAUGAAUUAAAACUGCUUACUUCCUGUAUGCAAGCAAACUUUUACCUUUUCAGAGCUGCUGGUUCUUGAGGAAUGGAUAACAACUAGGUGCCAAUGCUGAUAUUUCUAGAUCUAUUUAUCGGCUGCCUUUGGUACUAUUGAUCUUCAGAUGUUGACGACUCACCCACAGGUUUUCCAGACCUCAAAUAAUGAAGAGACUUAUGAAGGAUAUCUAUUUAGUGUAUCAAAGAGAAAGAUCUGAGAAAUAAGUCUGCUCUGUGAGUAAGUGGAUCUCAACUCUCUUCACGGGGAUGAAUGUUUGGGAAAAGCAAACAAGAACAGAGGGGCAAAAACUGUCAAAACAAAACUGUACUUAGAAGUCACUGUGAUGUGAGUAAUUUUUCUUUCUACUCGCUCUGCUAGUGUCUGUAAACCAUGACAGUGUCAUUUCAAACUAGCCAUCUGUCAUUGGCUCUAAUGUAACUGAUGUCUGUGUGACAUUACUAACGGCCAGUGAGAAUCCCUGA